rnacentral:rRNA from 1 species
AGCACCACGAACGGGUGGAGCUUGCGGUUUAAUUGGAUUCAACGCCGGAAAUCUUACCGGGACCGACAGCAAUAUGAAGGCCAGGCUGAAGACUUUGCCGGAUUAGCUGAGAGGUGGUGCAUGGCCGUCGUCAGUUCGUACUGUGAAGCAUCCUGUUAAGUCAGGCAACGAGCGAGACCCACGCCCACAGUUGCCAGCGUACUCUCUGGAGUGACGGGUACACUGUGGGACCGCCGCUGCUAAAGCGGAGGAAGGAAUGGGCAACGGUAGGUCAGUAUGCCCCGAAUAUCCCGGGCUACACGCGAGCUACAAUGGUUGGUACAAUGGGUAUCUACCCCGAAAGGGGACGGGAAUCUCCUAAAACCAAUCUUAGUUCGGAUUGAGGGCUGCAACUCGCCCUCAUGAAGCUGGAAUCCGUAGUAAUCGCGUUUCAACAGAACGCGGUGAAUACGUCCCUGCUCCUU